rnacentral:tRNA from 1 species
GCCCGGAUGGUGGAAUUGGUAGACACGUAUGCCUUAGGAGCAUAUGCCUUUCGGUGUGCAGGUUCAAAUCCUGUUCCGGGCACCA